CGGCACUAAAAAGUUUGAAAAUUUUCCUCUUUUAUUUCCUCCUAAAAUUUCCCAAUCAUCCUAUAAAAAUUAAACCAAAAUUUCCCUCCCAACUAAAAUUUUAGAUUUAUAGGGCUUUUUCCUAAACCCUAAUUUCAAGACCAAUUAGGAAUGUAAGUUCUGGCUCCACCGUCUCCUUCUCAACUUGAAUCAUUAAUCGACCACAAUUCCCUCUGUUUAGCUUGAUUAUGAUCUGUAACCGUCGCACAUCACCAUCUUGCAUUAAGAUUCCAACCCGUUUACAUCUUCAACUUACCCGAGUAACCCACUGAACCUAAAAUCCUUGAGUCACACUUCCUUAUUUAAGGUUUAAAUGCACAGCGGCGGCACGGCGGUGAUGGAAGCGACGGCGGUAACCUUUUUCCGGUAAACCCCUCUCAACCCUUUUCUGUUAUUUUGAAAUCUUUUUGUUAUUUUUGUUUCGAACGUUAUCGGUCGGUGAUAUCCAUAUUCAGUUGAUGAGCUUCGUUAAUUUAAUUAAUUUUUCCUAAUUUGUUUUUCCAUGUUUAGUUGGAAUUCUUGUUAUUUUAUCUUUUAUGGAUGCAGACGCUAGUAGCCUGUGAAUGGUUACUGCUAGAUUUUUUGGUUAUGGACUUUCACAUUGUUUAUUCUAGUGCAUGAGAGUUGUUGAAGGCAUUGUUGACGUAUGUCAAGAUGCCAUGCCAAUGGUUAGGAGACCAGCUUCAACAAAUGGGUCGGGUUCGUGUUGACACGUAUUUAAACAUAUUGGGUUCAGGUUGACCCGUAUUAAGAAAACGAGAUGGAUAUGUGAAGCUCUUUCCUCUUGCCUUGGAGCGCCUCACACUUUUAGAAAGCGACCUCCAUCCGCCAUAAAUUUAAUCAUUUGUUGAUGUUCAUAACUCUGUUUGGCAGAGAGCACUUGGCUUAUCUGUUGUUGAGGGUUAUACUGGUUAUGGAGGUGAAAAGCAGGAACUAGGAAUGAGAGCUCGAAUUGCUUCACCGUUCUAUGCAAGUCUUGGCAUAAACAAGGAUGACAUGUUUGUAUCUAACGGUUCAAACAUUAUUGUUUGUAUUUUCUUAUUUUUACUAUAUGUAUGGUAUUAACACAGGUGUGUGUAUUCUACAUUCUUGUUUGUAUUUUCUUGUUAUUUUUUUACUUUUAUCGAAAUAUCCAGUUCAGUGAAUAUCAUCUGGUUCAUUUGCGACUUGUUUUUUAGUCCUCACCUCAUACUUUCUUCAGGCUUAUGUCGAUUCAAGCGUGAUUAUGGGUUAGACGGUCGUUCCAAAAGGAUGUUGAUUGUUGAGAAAUAUACGAACAUAGAAUACAUGAAAUGUACUCCAGAGAACAAUGUUUUCCUUAUUCAUUUAGAGUUUCUCGAACAAAUAUUCACAAAUUGACUGUUCGGCUCUCAACGGAUUGACACUUGUCUACGGAACUAAAGUCUCCAGAGCUUGGACCCAAAUGAUCUAGUUGGUGGUACAGAGAUUGGACCAGAAUGGUGUGAAGUAAACGUUCAAGUACCAAUAAAAAAGAUGAAAACUUGGUAAGACCAUAUGGUUUAUUUUCUAUAAUUCAAGAUUGUAUUGGUGCAUCCAUCGCAUGGCCCUAUAUAUCCAUUCAUCUCGGUAGUCCAUGAGGAUUGAGGACACAUGACGACUCAAGAUUUUAUGCUUCUUAUUUCUUUAAUUGCUUUUAAUUUCUUUGUUGAAUGUUAAGACUUUAUGUUAGAUAAUGUUAUAACUUAUUUAUGGUUA